CAGCCGUAAACUAUGCUCGCUAGGUGUCAGGGACGGUGCGACCGUUUCUGGUGCCGCAGGGAAGCCGUGAAGCGAGCCACCUGGGAAGUACGGUCGCAAGGCUGAAACUUAAAGGAAUUGGCGGGGGAGCACUACAACGGGUGGAGCCUGCGGUUUAAUUGGACUCAACGCCGGAAAUCUUACCGGGACCGACAGCAACAUGAAGGCCAAGCUGAAGACUUUGCCGGAUUAGCUGAGAGGAGGUGCAUGGCGUAGACGUCU
rnacentral:rRNA from 1 species